rnacentral:rRNA from 1 species
CCUACGGGAGGCAGCAGUGGGGGAUAUUGCACAAUGGGGGGAACCCUGAUGCAGCGACGCCGCGUGGGUGAAGGAGUGCUUCGGCAUGUAAAGCCCUAUCGGCAGGGAAGAAGCAAGACGGUACCUGACUAAGAAGCCCCGGCUAACUACGUGCCAGCAGCCGCGGUAAUACGUAGGGGGCGAGCGUUAUCCGGAUUCACUGGGUGUAAAGGGAGCGUAGACGGCCAUGCAAGCCAGGGGUGAAAGCCCGGGGCCCAACGCCGGGACUGCCCUUGGAACUGUGCGGCUAGAGUGCGGGAGGGGCAGGCGGAAUUCCUGGUGUAGCGGUGAAAUGCGUAGAUAUCAGGAGGAACACCGGCGGCGAAGGCGGCCUGCUGGACUGCGACUGACGUUGAGGCUCGAAAGCGUGGGGAGCGAACAGGAUUAGAUACCCCGGUAGUC